rnacentral:rRNA from 1 species
ACUCCUACGGGAGGCAGCAGUAGGGGAUAUUGGACAAUGGGGGCAACCCUGAUCCAGCCAUGCCGCGUGCGGGAAGAAGGCCUUCGGGUUGUAAACCGCUUUUGGUCGGGAAGAAAAGGUUCUCCCUAAUACGGGGGACUGUUGACGGUACCGGCAGAAUAAGCACCGGCUAACUACGUGCCAGCAGCCGCGGUAAUACGUAGGGUGCGAGCGUUAAUCGGAAUUACUGGGCGUAAAGCGUGCGCAGGCGGUAAGUUAAGUCUGAUGUGAAAGCCCCGGGCUCAACCUGGGAAUGGCAUUGGAAACUGGCUUGCUAGAGUGUGGCAGAGGGGGGUGGAAUUCCGCGUGUAGCAGUGAAAUGCGUAGAGAUGCGGAGGAACACCGAUGGCGAAGGCAGCCCCCUGGGCCAACACUGACGCUCAGGCACGAAAGCGUGGGGAGCAAACAGGAUUAGAUACCCUGGUAGUCCACGCCCUAAACGAUGCCAACUGGGUGUUGGGGAAGCGAUUCCUUGGUACCGUAGCUAACGCGUGAAGUUGACCGCCUGGGGAGUACGGCCGCAAGGUUAAAACUCAAAUGAAUUGACGG